AUCAACCCUGUGAGAGCUUACCAAUUCCCAAGGCAUGAUCUGAAGAUAUCUGACACACCUGCCUUGCUGAAGCAAAGCAAGUGACGAAGGUUGGAAGUUUUGAUUAUUCCCAUUCAUAAGGCGAUUCUGCCUGCUCAGCAAAAGGAGGUU